rfam:Schistocephalus solidus strain NST_G2 genome assembly, scaffold: SSLN_scaffold0002412
GGUCUCGUAGUUCAGUUGGCUAGUGCGUUGGCUGUACUAAAGCCUUCCCCUUGCUGGCGUGGGUUCGAAUCCCACCGAGGCUG